GAUGAACGCUGGCGGCGUGCCUAAUACAUGCAAGUCGAGCGAACAGACGAGGAGCUUGCUCCUCUGACGUUAGCGGCGGGCGGGUGAGUAACACGUGGAUAACCUACCUAUAAGACUGGGAUAACUUCGGGAAACCGUAGCUAAUACCGGAUAAUAUAUUGAACCGCAUGGUUCCAUAGUGAAAGACGGUUUUGCUGUCGCUUAUAGAUGGGUCCGCGCCGCAUUAGCUAGUUGGUAAGGUAACGGCUUACCAAGGCAACGAUGCGUAGCCGGCCUGAGAGGGUGAUCGGCCACACUGGAACUGAGACACGGUCCAGACUCCUACGGGAGGCAGCAGUAGGGAAUCUUCCGCAAUGGGCGAAAGCCUGACGGAGCAACGCCGCGUGAGUGAUGAAGGUCUUCGGAUCGUAAACCUCUGUUAUUAGGGAAGAACAAAUGUGUAAGUAACUAUGCACGUCUUGACGGUACCUAAUCAGAAAGCCACGGCUAACUACGUG
rnacentral:rRNA from 1 species